rnacentral:lncRNA from 1 species
GGGGUUUCCUCGCGAUGGUAGAGGAGGGAAAAGAAAUACAUAAUGAGCUAGGAAGUUAAGGGCAAAGUCUGUGAAGAAGCUACACAUAAAAUUUGGGAGAAGGCUGAAAGAGGAGUUAACACGAAGCGGGUGAGCUCAACAGGGCAUGAGAGGAGGAGAGAGGUAGACGUUUGGGAUAAACAGACCUUAGGGGGCUGGGUAGACAUUGGGAGCUGGGGAUGAGAGAGCUGAGCCAGAAAAGGGGAAACAUGAAUGGUGAAUUUAGGGGAGGUUUGUGCGGAGUAUUAGGAUUGCCAGGGGGGUUGUGGGGUGAGGAUUAGAUAAAAAGGAGGUAAGGGAUACAUCCAGAUCGGAGUUGCAACUAGGUUAAAGAGAGGUCACGAGUGAGGCUGCAUUUAUGCAAGACCGGUGGUAAGAAGAUGGGAGCAAGAGCUGAGGUUGGGUCACGGGUAGGAGAAAAUGGACGGAACAGGCCAGCGGUGGCAGCGCGGACCGAAGGCUACGGUGGGAGCCCGGUGCGGGCUGGGAGGGCAGAGGGCUCCGAAGCCGGACUGUCUCGAGGCAACCAAGAUCUCUGGGAUCACCGCGAGGGCUGGAGGACCUACUGCCGGUUGGCGUAACGGCCCCGCCGCCCCAGCGCUGCCCUCUUCACCCACUGACCCCUAACUCACCAAAAGGAGCAGGGAGCGGGGCUGGGGGCGCUCCUGGCCGCGGCAGCCCCUCAGCCUCGGAACCGACGCUGCAGCCUCCUGGCCGUUGACAACAGGAAGCGGCGCCCCAGCGCCUGACGCCAUCUCGUUGAUUUGGCGCUCCGCCCCGCCUCCAGCCCGAGGAGUCAAUAGUGAGGCUCUGAGGAUCAGAGGGCCGGGGCCAGGAGUUCUUCGAAGCCGGAGGGUGCGGAGCCCCAUCCGCAGGUGAGUGGAUCUAGAUCUCUGUACACCGGCCCAAGUCGGACCGCGCUGGUAGAUCCAGGCUUCUGGGUCCCUGACUCCGCUCGAUCGGCAUCAACUGAGCGACUUUGGGGUAGUGACUUAGCCUCACAAAGCCGACGACAGUCCACUUGAGUAGUACCAAUAAUACCCACUCUUAAUACCUACUCUUCCUUUGCCUCCCAAAGGCAUCAGUCCAACCCAGUGGGUAGAGCCUGGGCUCAAAUUGGAGCCUUCCUCCUGGCUUUUAAGAGCCGGGAAUACACACCUAUUUUGAAGGCACCUAAUACCACGUGAUCACCUUGAGGUUUCUCUGGGCAGUCUCAUGUGUUCAACACAAUCCUGAAGACCUGAAGCCCAGGGGUUCGCUUUUCCUCUUCCAGCCUUGUAGUUAUUUGUUUUCUUUCCUUGUAGAAGUGACAUCGCUCUUUCAAAUGAACUUAGAAGAAAAAUAUCAAGAGCAGCAACUGCGCCUGGAACCCUUGGAGCCAGGGACAGUUCUUUGGGCACUUCACACUUGCAAACUUCAAUCAAUGGGAGCCUAGGGCCUGAGCAUGGACUGUGAAUUAUUAGGGUCAGGAGAGGUACUUGCGCGUCCUAAGAGAGUAGCACAAGGGUGACCAGGGACAGGCCAAUUCUUGGAAAGAAGCUACACUGACUUUGGUUGGAGGUCUUAUGCUCCCUUGGCCUCUAGGCAAGGAAGGUGGCCCUCAUAUCUCCACAAAUCUAGGGGGCCCAGUUCCUGUUUCCAUUUAUAAAAACAACUGUUGGGUGUGGUCCCCCACCUUGUUAGUGGGCUGCCUGCUCAGUAAUUCUCCUCCCCUCAGUUUCAGGCUAGAUGGGUCACAGUGUUCAUUCAAUACAGUUGAUAUUGAGCAGGAAGAUGACAAGUACGCACGUACAAACUAUUCUUUUGUGUCAAACUCAUUUUAAACAAGAAGGAAGGUAAGGUGUUUUCUAGGGAAACUUACCUACUUUGGCAAAAGGAUAGCUGUUUCUGGUCAUAAUCAUCACAGACAGAUAUUGGUGGUUUAGAAGAAGCAUGUCCUGCCCCUAAAUCAAGCACUUCAUGUCCCUCAGUUAUUCCCUUGCAUUUUUGUUCAGCUGUUGAAAGGAUAACUGUGUGGAAUUCCUCAAAAUAAUCUCUUGUCUGUUUUUCAGGAGUCUCUGUUUCCUGGUCCCUUAUUUUCCAGGCUCCUGAUAUCUGAAAAGUUUCCAUGCUUGUCUACCUCUUCUCAUCUUGCUCUAUACAAGGUGAAGCUAUAUAAAGGCCUGGAGUUAAGAUGGGGGAGGAUGGAGGAAGUGGCAGGAAAGGGCAAUGCACAAAUGCACAUAAAUAUUGCACAUUUCCACAAAACAUUUCACAAUGGACCAUGAGCGCACCAGGUAGACUCCAGAUGGGGAAAAAAAAUGUUACCCUGUGACUGGAACAAUAAUAAAGGUGCCUGCAAAAUACUAUCGAACCAGAGAAAAGAAUUUGAGAGGUUUCCAGAUGCAUAGUAUCCAUGAACUUGUGAAGAAGUGUUGAGUUUGUGCUUUAAAGGUUAGUUCAAUCUAGCUUCAGUCUUUGAUCCUCCAUUAUUCAUCUCAUUCCCUUGUCUUUUGGUAAUAGAGCCUCCCGUAACACUUCAUGCUUUGAAUAUAGCCCUUGCUGCUCUGCCACAUUGACUUAUUAUUAUUUUUUUUAAUUUUUUGGUACCAGGGAUUAAACUCAGGGGAAUCAACCACUGAGCCACAUCCCCAGCCAUCCUCUUCCUCCUCCUCUUCCUCUUUUUUUUUUUGGAGAUAGGAUCUUGUUAAGUUGCUUAGGGCCUUGUUAAGUUGCUGAGGCUGACUUCAAAUACAUGAUCCUCCUGCCUCAGCUUCCUGAGCUGUUGGGAUUACAGGUGUGUACCACCACAGCCACACACAGACUUAUUUUUUAAAUAGACAUGUUUUUUUUUUUUCUCUCCCCUUCCCUAGUUUUCCCUUCCCUGAUCUCAGGGGAAACAGGAUUACUCUUCCUCUCUAUCCUAGGCCCAGUUUUCUGUCUUUGAGCAUACCUUUAAUCAUAGGAAUAAAGUAAUUCAGACUUGGGGGAUGGCUCAAGAAGAUCUAAGAAAUCUCCCAAAUUAACAAGUGAAUUCUCUCUCUCUCUCUCUCUCUCUCUCUCUCUCUCUCUCUCUCUCUCACACACACACACACACACACACACACACACACACACACAUACACACUCACACACACACACACACACACACACACACACCCAUCAGACAUACCUGGAAUGUAGCCUCUGGGACAAGAGUCCCCUCUGUUUUUUCCCUUUUUUCUUAAAACUGUGUCCUCAUUACUGGAGUGGCAUUGGGGACAAGGACCAAUUUUUGGUACCACUCUUAUUUUACUUUAGGGAUGAGCCUCCUUCACUCACUGUGAUUCUGCUAGGUUUAAGUCCCCCACCCCAGGAUAUGUGCAAGACAAUGGCCAGCCAAUCAGAGUCUCCUCUUCCCUGAACUGUGACCCAACAGGCCAAUCAGAGACCUUUUGAGGAAGGUCUUUCUCUGAGCCAUUUCCUCCACAGCAGUGGAGAAUUGGACCAUUCUUGCAGAUAAGAGGAGUCUUCUCCUAUGUAAUGUUUUGAACAACUAAUAAUUAAAAAAAAAAAAAAAGAGGAGUCCUCUCAAGGCUGAAGUUAUCACAGAGGAAAGUGGACCUGAGAUACAGAUAGGGAGUGGAUGCAAUGAGUGAUGGAUGCAGCCAGCCUUAAGCCCUUAGGGGUUCCUGUUAUAUAAGCUGAUAUGUCAUGUUUUUAUUUAAGCAUAUUUUAAUUGAAUUUCUUUCAUAUGGAAAAAAAAGCCCUAAUAUAUUAUCUUUUUGAACUUGGGCAAGUUAUUUAUCCUCCAGCUUCAGAUUCUUCAACUAUUAAAUUGGGGAGAAUAAGAUCUCCAUUCUAAGUAGCUGUAAGAUUUAAAUGAGAUAACAUGCAUAUACAUUCAAUAUAUGAUUACUAUUAGUGAUAUAGUGAUUAUAUUUUUGGGAGACACAGACAGGAUUUAUUUGCUCUGCAAAUAUUGCAUGGUGCACACAUGCAUUCAGAGGCUUCCUGCUGUGAUGGGCUCUCCAAAGAUCUGCAGUUAUUAAUUGGAAAUCACUGUUCCAGAGGUUACCUUUUGAGUAGGGCAACCUUUAUUUUCCUGUCCCCUUCCAGUCUAUGUGUAUUCUUCCUUUAAGAGAAAGUUUGGUGUUAUAGUUUUCUCCACCAUGUUCCCAUCUAAUUGGCCUAGAUUCAGGUUACUUCCAAGCAGAUUCCCCAUCCCUUAUUUUGCUAAUAAUCAAACUUGCUUAGGAGGCAUGGUGUUUGGAAGUUGUACAUGAACGCUUAUUUCUGUUACAAAACUGGAAACACCCUUAACAAGAGGAACUAUGGCUGCUGAUUAUUCACGUGGAAUAUAAUCACAAUGACCCACACACAUUUCUUGGAGGAAAAAAUGUCAACCAGUGCAUGGCAGCUGGUUGAAUUUUUCCUUUAAUGUUCCCUUGCUACUUAUUAAUUCACUUUGUUGCUUGUGAGCUCCUAAGAGGAGAGAGAGACUGGCAGGAGCUAAAAAGUUUAAGCUGUUUUUUGUAAAAAAAAAUAGUAAAAGUAAAAUAAUGUCUAUAAGCUUGUUUUAGGCAAAUUUAGGUAAUUUCCUGGGAACCACUCUCCCAGUAUAGUGACCUAAUUCCCAAUUUGUAUUUUUUUCAAAUUCAUUGUUAAAUACCCAGUGAUAUUGCAGCCUCCCAGUUGCCCUCUCUGAAAUACCCUUACCAGCAUGUCCAUCAGAAUUGUAGAGAUGAAAAUAGUCUCCUAUGCUAUCUGAUAUGGUGGCCAUUAGCCAUGUGACUAUUGAGCCCUUGAUGUGUGGCUAGUGUGACUUAGAAGUUGACUAUAAAUUUUUAAUUUGCAUGAAUUUAUAUUUGCAAAACAUAUUAUACAUAAAUAUUACAUACUUUUUUUAAUACUAGAGAUUGAACCCAGGGCACUUUACCACUGAGCUACAUCCUGAGUCCUUUUUAUCUUUCAUUUUGAGACAGGAUCUCACUGAGUUGCUGAGGCUGGCUUUGAACUUGUGAUCUUCCUGCCUCAGCCUCCUGAGUCCCUGGGAUUAUAGGUGUGCAUCACUGCCUGGUGCAGCAUGGGCUUUAAAGGUAAAUCUCACUGUCUUGAAAUUGUCCUUAAGCCAUGUGGAUCCUUGACUAGCUUGGUGCCUUCAGACAGCCUUCCUCCUAGGAUAUUUCAGGUGAUGAGACUCUUUCCAGUUUCAAAUGGCCUCUAGAGAAAGAAAUUUCACUAACCUGUUUUGGUGUUUAGUCCUUUCUUCUGGAGGUCCCUACGGGAGGUAGCAGAUUCAAAACUGGCAUGAGUCAGAUCUGGGCACAGAUCUCAGCUUCAGAUGGCACAAUCUCUUUACAUUUUAUGGGGCAAAUACUUAGCACAUGUCUCUCUUUUGUAACAAAUCACAUGGUGAGAAUGAAGGAAUGGUUUAAAAUUCACUCAGUAAUAUUUCUGAGUCAUCCCUAAGGGCAGGGCAUGGUGCUAGGCACUGGGAGAAAGGGAGCAGGAGCAGGGUAGAGAGGAAGGAGACAUGAUUCUUUCCUUGUCAGGACUCCUGAUCUAAUUAAGAAGGUGGCUGAAUCACCACAGUGGUGGCAUUUCUUUUCAGUAGGCUGCAAUUCCAGGUGAUCACUAGAAGAGUGGGUCCAAAUUGUGUAACCUCCAAACCAGGGAUCAUCACAUACUACGAGAGAAUUACUGGCCCCAAUUUCUCUCCCCUCCUGGCAUCCAUGGUCUCCAUGUAGUGGGAAUGUCCUUUCCUGUCCUCUGGCUUUGGGCUUGCUUUGACCCUUCAAAUAAAGUACAAAAGGCCUGCUGAAGUUUUGCUGGCCCUUGUGUGUUUUUGCAUUCACCAGGAGAAGUACAUCUCUCAGGCAGCUAUGGCAUCUCCAGCCUGGACUGCAGAAUGAGCACACUUGGAACAGAGAUGCAGGGAGAGAUACCGCUCAGUGGUUAGCAUAGCAUUAGAGAAGUAUCUAUAUUAGACAGCUACAGGAUUCUGCUGCAGGGAUCCUUAUUCCAAUGUGGCGUUUCGGUAGCAAUCCUUAUUCCAAUGUGGAGUUUCGGUAGCAACCGCUAAUCCAUUCCUUUAUUAGGUUGUUGGUCCAGCUGCUACAAGUGACACCCAGCCCAAUAGUGGGUUAAGAAUGUUCUCUGAGUUGUCAUGUAAUAAAGCCAAUAAAGAAGUCUGGUGUUUCCUACACACACCAUCAUGUAGAAAAGACAGUAGAAUGAAUUGGACAUAACUUUUCUAUGCUCAUAUGUGACAUAUGACUAAUGUAACUCUACAUCAUGUACUCCACAUCAAGAAUGGGAUCCUAGGCCUGGGGUUGUGGC